CGCUGUUCCCGGUGCUGGUGCGGUUCGACCCCCCCAGUGAGUAGGGUCCGACUGCGUCCUGCAAGACGGGGGCGUGUAUUUUGAGGAGGCGUGUCUUGUAAGGAGGGCGUGUAUUUAGUCGGCCCUGAUUGGUCUGAUUCACGACGGCGUCUGGCGUCACACAUAGCCUCGUGCAGAGCCAUAAUCUAUUCUAUUUGACAUUUGCGGAUCUCUUCUCUUGUCGAACCUACUCCGGAGAUGUAACGAACUGGUCAACAGCAGUUAGAUAGCAGAAAGAUGAUUGCCUCGAUUGAUUUGAUCCAUCCAACUGUCUGCAAACAUGGAUCUCUGAUGCAGCCAGUGCGGUUGGGAGAUUCUUACGGGUGCCAAGUUUGCAGAAAAUUUGGCGAUUACCCAGCCAUGGUUGCACAUGUUCAAACACAUGACAAAGCAGCCAUAUCUCACAAUGGCUACAAAAUCUAUAGGUGCCAACACAACUGUGCCAACACAAGAUCUCCACACUACCACUGUGUGUGCUCAACCAUUACUGGCAGCAAAACUUCAUGCAUAAAGCACCUGCAGACCUGCCCUGGCAUGAGGACACCACCUCCAUCUCAAAGCCUCAGCACGCCGAGCCCAAUGCCAGCCACGCACCCGCCACCUCCAUCUCAAGGCCUCAGCACGCCGAGCCCAAUGCCAGCCACGCACCCGCCACCUCCAUCUCAAGGCCUCAGCACGCCAACCCAAUGCCAGCCACGCACCCGCCACCUCGAUCUCAAGGCCUCAGCACGCCGAGCCCAAUGCCAGCCACGCACCCGCCACCUCCAUCCAAAAUAAAACGUGUGCCGAGGACCACUUGUUGCUUUUGCAACUUAGUUCUGAGCAAGAAGAACAUCAAACUGCACAUAAGAAGGCGGCACUCCUCUAGGGCACCUGACAUAAAUCAGGAAAGGCAUCUUGCCUCUGUGUGUGUGGACCACCUGAAAGGAAUUUUUGUGGUAAGGAGAAGCUUCACUGGACCAGCGAACCCAGUCCAUGUACAAAGAUG
rnacentral:lncRNA from 1 species